AUGAAAACACCCAAAAGAAGCUUCCAACGGUGAAAAGAAGCUGUCUCACGGCAUUCAAAGUGAACCUUGGAGUGCUGUAUCUUCUCACUAUGGCUGGAAUCACGGCACGCUAUGUUUUAGUCACUUUGGAAAAAGAGCAGCUGCAGAAUCGAACCAACAAACUGAUCAACAUUUACAGCCAGCUCGAAGAAAAAGUCUUUGAUGACAACAGUCAGCUACAGAGCAGGUAUGAUGCCCUGAAUAAGAACUGC